rnacentral:rRNA from 1 species
GAGUGAAGCGGCAAUAGCUCGAAUUUGAAAUCUGGCCUAGGCCCGAGUUGUAAUCUGUAGAGGAUGCUUUUGGCGCGGUGCCUUCCGAGUUCCCUGGAACGGGACGCCACAGAGGGUGAGAGCCCCGUAUGGUCGGACACCAAGCCUCUGUAAAGCUCCUUCGACGAGUCGAGUAGCUUGGGAAUGCUGCUCUAAAUGGGAGGUAAACUUCUUCUAAAGCUAAAUACCGGCUAGAGACCGAUAGCGCACAAGUAGAGUGAUCGAAAGAUGAAAAGCACUUUGAAAAGAGGGUUAAACAGUACGUGAAAUUGUUGAAAGGGAAGCGCUUGUGACCCAGACUUGCGCCGGGCUGAUCAUCCAGCGGUCUCCGCUGGUGCACUCGGUCCGGCUCAGGCCAGCGUCGGUUGUCGCGGGGGGAUAAAAGCCUAGGGAAUGUAGCUCCUUCCGGGGAGUGUUAUAGCCCUCCGCAGAAUAUCCCGCGGCGACCGA